ACGGGUUUCCUGACAUUGUUUUUCGGUCUUCUGAAUUCCUCUUAUGAAGGAGAAAGAGCCGUGGGAUUCAAACUGCAUUUUAGCUGGUUGAUAAACUUCAGACUCCAAGAAAAUAUUUAUCUGGUGCCGCAAAGGAGCUCAUCUGUAUUUUACACUUCCGCUGAAAAAAAGCUCAUUGUCAGCUCCAAAGAGGUUCAGCUCUGCAUGUGAUGGGAACACAGAAAAGAAGAACAUUUUCUAAUUGUUCAUCUCUUUCCCUCAUUUUCUUCAAUAUUUAAGGGAAAGCUGGUAAAAAAUGCAUAAAAACUUUCUCAUGAGUA